GAUGAACGCUGGCGGCGUGCCUAAUACAUGCAAGUAGAACGCUGAAGGAAGGAGCUUGCUCUUUCCGGAUGAGUUGCGAACGGGUGAGUAACGCGUAGGUAACCUGCCUGGUAGCGGGGGAUAACUAUUGGAAACGAUAGCUAAUACCGCAUAACAGUAGAUGUUGCAUGAUAUCUACUUAAAAGGUGCAAUUGCACCACUACCAGAUGGACCUGCGUUGUAUUAGCUAGUUGGUGAGGUAACGGCUCACCAAGGCGACGAUACAUAGCCGACCUGAGAGGGGGAGCGGCCACACUGGGACGGAGACACGGCCCAGACGCCUACGGGAGGCAGCAGGAGGGAAGCGUCGGCAAUGGACGGAAGUCUGACCGAGCAACGCCGCGGGAGUGAAGAAGGGUUUCGGAUCGGAAAGCUCUGUUGUAAGAGAAGAACGAGUGUGAGAGUGGAAAGUUCACACUGUGACGGUAGCUGAACAGAAAGGGACGGCUAACUACGUG
rnacentral:rRNA from 1 species